UACGAAGGGGGCUAGCGUUGUUCGGAAUUACUGGGCGUAAAGCGCGCGCAGGCGGUCCUUCAAGUCAGAGGUGAAAGCCCAGAGCUCAACUCUGGAACGGCCUUUGAGACUAGAGGACUUGGGUACGGGAGAGGUGAGUGGAAUUCCCAGUGUAGAGGUGAAAUUCGUAGAUAUUGGGAAGAACACCGGUGGCGAAGGCGGCUAUCUGGACCGUAACUGACGCUGAGGCGCGAAAGCGUGGGGAGCAAACAGG
rnacentral:rRNA from 1 species